rnacentral:piRNA from 1 species
UCUUCAGAGAUGUAAACAACCUAACAGGUU